rnacentral:lncRNA from 1 species
AGUGAAUCUACUUGAAAGGCAUCUUUAGAAUAAAAAUAUACCUUCAGCAUGUAGUCAAAACAUGAGCUGCUGGGAAGAAUGAAUGAGAAAUAUCUCGUGGGGUCAAAAUAUGCAUGCAGUAUAAGCUACAAUUUCAAACUAUCUAAAGGCAGAUCUCCAGAAAGAUUUAAUGGAGGAGAAAAGAGCAAGAAGAGAUGGAUGUUGGCAGCAUAUCCCAGAUUCUGUGUUCUUAGAAUAAAGAGGAGAAAAAAAAAAAGCAAAAGGGCCUACUCCCUGCCCUCAGCUACAAUGUAAGCAGCCCCCUCCCACUCUCAAAUCCAUGCCUGAUGGGAACACCAUGAUGAGGAAGACCCUUCAACUACAAGCAACAUAAACCUAUCCUUCCUUAAGAUUCUUCUGUCAAAUUUCUUGUCAUAUUUUUGGUAAAAUAAACUAAUGUGAAAUACUGA